rnacentral:rRNA from 1 species
UACAGAGGUCUCAAGCGUUGUUCGGAUUCAUUGGGCGUAAAGGGUGCGUAGGCGGCGCGGUAAGUCGGGUGUGAAAUCUCGGGGCUUAACUCCGAAACUGCAUUCGAUACUGCGGUGCUUGAGGACUGGAGAGGAGACUGGAAUUCAUGGUGUAGCAGUGAAAUGCGUAGAGAUCAUGAGGAAGACCAGUGGCGAAGGCGGCUUCCUGGACCGACACUGACGCUGAGGCGCGAAAGCUAGAGGAGCAAACGGG